rnacentral:rRNA from 1 species
UACGUAGGGUGCAAGCGUUACUCGGAAUUCCUGGGCGUAAAGCGUGCGCAGGCGGCUUUGCAAGACAGCUGUGAAAUCCCCGGGCUCAACCUGGGAACUGCAUUUGUGACUGCAAGGCUAGAGUACGGUAGAGGGGGAUGGAAUUCCGCGUGUAGCAGUGAAAUGCGUAGAUAUGCGUAGGAACACCGAUGGCGAAGGCAAUCCCCUGGACCUGUACUGACGCUCAUGCACGAAAGCGUGGGGAGCAAACAGG